AUGAAGAGUUUGAUCCUGGCUCAGAACGAACGCUGGCGGCAGGCCUAACACAUGCAAGUCGAGCGAGAAAGUGACUUCGGUCGCGAGUAAAGCGGCGAACGGGUGAGUACAACGUGGAUAAUCUACCCUAGGGUCUGGGACAACCCCGAGAAAUCGGGGCUAAUACCGGAUAAGACCACAGUAUCCAAGGAUACAGCGGUAAAAGAUUUAUCGCCUUUGGAUGAGUCCACGCCCCAUCAGGUAGUUGGUAAGGUAAAGGCUUACCAAGCCUAAGACGGGUAGCCGGCCUUAGCGGGUGAACGGCCACAUGGGGACUGAGACACGGCCCUGACUCCUACGGGAGGCAGCAGUGGGGAAUAUUGGGCAAUGGGCGAAAGCCUGACCCAGCGAUGCCGCGUGAGGGAUGAAGGCCUUCGGGUUGUAAACCUCUGUCAGGAGGGACGAUGGGACACUUGUGUCUUGACGGUACCUCCAGAGGAAGCCCCGGCUAACUCCGUGCCAGCAGCCGCGGUAAUACGGAGGGGGCAAGCGUUGCUCGGAAUUACUGGGCGUAAAGGGUCCGCAGGCUGUCAGGCAAGUUGGUUGUGAAAUCCCAAGGCUUAACCUUGGAAUUGCAUCCAAAACUGCCUGACUAGAGUCCAAGAGAGGUUGGCGGAAUUCCCGGUGUAGCGGUGAAAUGCAUAGAUAUCGGGAGGAACACCAGAGGCGAAGGCGGCCAACUGGCUUGGUACUGACGCUCAGGGACGAAAGCGUGGGUAGCAAACCGGAUUAGAUACCCGGGUAGUCCACGCCCUAAACGAUGGAUGCUAGGUAGGGGGAAUUUAAUUCUCCCUGCCGUAGUUAACGCAUUAAGCAUCCCGCCUGGGGAGUACGGUCGCAAGGCUGAAACUCAAAGGAAUUGACGGGGGC
rnacentral:rRNA from 1 species